UGCAGGGUGGAGCAGCUCGGUAGCUCGUCAGGCUCAUAACCUGAAGGUCUUAGGUUCAAAUCCUAACCCUGCACCCA
rnacentral:tRNA from 1 species